AAUUUCUUUAUCUGCAGAUGUCAACAGUGCCUCAUCCUCUUUAUUUCCACCAGAAUUUAUAUGGUGGGCCAGGGCUUGGUGAGCGGUGGUAAUUUCCUGUGCAGUAUAUACUGCCCUACUUGUGAGGAGCAUAUUGCUGUUCAAGGGUCAACAUGCAAACACAUGGGGGCAUUACUGAAACCAAUGGAUGUUACCUGGAGAAGCCAGCCUGAAAAUAUCUGGUGCAGUGGCGUUAUGAGGAGUCUUUCAUGGAGCAUGGACUACUCAUCAUCUGUGAAGCCCAGGGCAAGAAAUCAGAGAAUAUGUCCAUUGGUAGACAUGGAAGCACAUUGUCAAAGCUCAGAUAUCUCAUGGAAGAAACAGCCAGUUUUUCCUGCUUUUCAUUCCUGUGAUGAGGUUCAACUUUCUGAAACCCCAGCAGUUGG
rnacentral:lncRNA from 1 species